rnacentral:rRNA from 1 species
AUUGAACGCUGGCGGCAUGCCUUACACAUGCAAGUCGAACGGCAGCACGGGUGCUUGCACCUGGUGGCGAGUGGCGAACGGGUGAGUAAUAUAUCGGAACGUACCUUAUUGUGGGGGAUAACGCAGCGAAAGCUGUGCGAAUACCGCAUAAUACCUAAGGGGGAAAGCGGGGGACCGUAAGGCCUCGCGCAAUUAGAGCGGCCGAUACCUGAUUAGCUAGUUGGUGAGGUAAAGGCUCACCAAGGCAACGAUCAGUAGCUGGUCUGAGAGGACGAUCAGCCACACUGGGACUGAGACACGGCCCAGACUCCUACGGGAGGCAGCAGUGGGGAAUUUUGGACAAUGGGGGCAACCCUGAUCCAGCAAUGCCGCGUGAGUGAAGAAGGCCUUCGGGUUGUAAAGCUCUUUUGUCAGGGAAGAAACAGCAGCUCUAACACAGUUUGCGAAUGACGGUACCUGAAGAAUAAGCACCGGCUAACUACGUGCCAGCAGCCGCAGUAA